GGCGGUUCUUGGGUGAUGCACCCCAGAAUCAGGCUCCCUCCUCUCUGGUUCUGGGUGUGUCACCCAAGAACCGCA
rfam:Myotis davidii contig319427, whole genome shotgun sequence.